rnacentral:rRNA from 1 species
GACGAACGCUGGCGGCGUGCUUAACACAUGCAAGUCGAACGAAGUGGCGAACGGGUGAGUAACGCGUAAUCAACCUGCCCUUCAGAGGGGGACAACAGUUGGAAAGGACGGCUAAUCCAGCAUACUGAAGGAGGGGAUGGCGGCGGAUUAGCUAGUUGGGGGGGUAACGGCCCACCAAGGCGAGGAGCAGUAGACGGUCUGAGAGGAUGAACGGCCACAUUGGGACUGGGACACGGCCCAGACCCCUACGGGAGGCAGCAGUGGGGAAUCUUCCGAAAUGGACGAAAGUCUGACGGAGCAACGCCGCGUGAGUGAUGACGGCCUUCGGGUUGUAAAGCUCUGUUAAUCGGGACGCGGUACCGGAAUAGAAAGCCACGGCUAACUACGUGCCAGCCGCCGCGGUAAUAC